AGCAGCCGCGGUAAUUCCAGCUCCAAUAGCGGUAUAUUAAAGUUGUUGCAGUUAAAAAGCUCGUAGUUGAAUUUCGAGACCGGUUUAUUGGUCGUGCUUUUGUACGUACUGGUAUAAUCGGUUUCUCUCUUCUGACGAACUAUAAUGCCAUUAAUUUGGUGUUAUGGGAAAUCAGGACUGUUACCUUGAAAAAAUUAGAGUGUUUAAAGCAGGCUCACGCUUGAAUACAUUAGCAUGGAAUAACGGAAUAGGACGUUUGAUUCUAUUUUGUUGGUUUCUAGGAUCGACGUAAUGAUUAAUAGGGAUAGUUGGGGGCAUUAGUAUUCAAUUGUUAGAGGUGAAAUUCUUGGAUUUAUUGAAGACUAACUACUGCGAAAGCAUUUUGCCAAGGAUGUUUUCAUUAAUCAAGAACGAAAGUUAGGGGAUCGAAGACGAUCAGAUACCGUCGUAGUCUUAACCAUAAAACUAUGCCGACUAGGGAUCGGGAUGAUGUUAAUUUUUAAUGACUUCAUUCGGCACCUUACAG
rnacentral:rRNA from 1 species